rnacentral:rRNA from 1 species
UUUAUCAAAAACAUCGCCUCUUGUAACCAAAAAAUAAGAGGUCCCGCCUGCCCUGUGACUAUAAGUUUAACGGCCGCGGUAUUUUGACCGUGCGAAGGUAGCGCAAUCACUUGUCUUUUAAAUGAAGACCUGUAUGAAUGGCACAACGAGGGCUUAGCUGUCUCCUUUUUCCAGUCAAUGAAAUUGAUCUCCCCGUGCAGAAGCGGGGAUAAAUACAUAAGACGAGAAGACCCUAUGGAGCUUUAGACACUAAAGUGGAUCAUGUCAAUAACCCCUAAACAAAGGAUUGAACCAAAUGGAACCCACCCUGAUGUCUUUGGUUGGGGCGACCGCGGGGAACUAAACAACCCCCAUGUGGAGUGGGAGCACCCCUCCUACAGCUAAGAGUUACAACUCUAAUAAACAGAAUUUCUGACCAAAAGGAUCCGGCAAAGCCGAUCAACGGACCUAGUUACCCUAGGGAUAACAGCGCAAUCCUCUUUUAGAGCCCAUAUCGACAAGGGGGUUUACGACCUCGAUGUUGGAUCAGGACAUCCUAAUGGUGCAGCCGCUAUUAAGGGUUCGUUUGUUCAACGAUUAAAGUCCUACGUGAUCUGAGUUC